rnacentral:rRNA from 1 species
GUGGGGAAUAUUGGACAAUGGGGGGAACCCUGAUCCAGCCAUGCCGCGUGUGUGAAGAAGGUCUUCGGAUUGUAAAGCACUUUAAGUUGGGAGGAAGGGCAGUAAGUUAAUACCUUGCUGUUUUGACGUUACCGACAGAAUAAGCACCGGCUAACUUCGUGCCAGCAGCCGCGGUAAUACGAAGGGUGCAAGCGUUAAUCGGAAUUACUGGGCGUAAAGCGCGCGUAGGUGGUUUUGUAAGUUGGAGGUGAAAUCCCCGGGCUCAACCUGGGAACUGCCUCCAAAACUGCAUGACUAGAGUACGGUAGAGGGUAGUGGAAUUUCCUGUGUAGCGGUGAAAUGCGUAGAUAUAGGAAGGAACACCAGUGGCGAAGGCGACUACCUGGACUGAUACUGACACUGAGGUGCGAAAGCGUGGGGAGCAAACAGGAUUAGAAACCCUAGUAGUCC